CUUCUUCUUCUUUACCCAUAAAACAUAACCUAGAAUCAAAGUCUAGUUAAGACUAUUACUAGCAACAUAGUAAGUUUGCUUAGUGCUAGAAUUGAUAUCAGCGACGACGGCUAUGACGGUUUCUUCAUCACCGGAAUUAAUAGCUAGAGCAACGGCCUCGGUCUCUUUUUUCGUUUCCUCCUUAUUGUUUAAAACAAAUCCAAAAAUCAAAUUAGCAAUAAUGAAAUAAAAUAACCACCCAACUGAAGCCCACCGGAGCAGAAAAUCAUGAGCUGAAUUUUGU
rnacentral:lncRNA from 1 species